UAUUUAGAGGGUGCACUUUAAAGAGGUAAGGGUUUUGUACUUUAGCAUAUUUUUAUUGCUAAAGUUCGAUUCUCUUAAAGAUACUGCCUAAUCGGACUUCCUUCAAUGCUGAGGUACUUGUCAAUAGAGAGCAGAAGCUACAGUUUAAUAUUACGAGUCUGAAUCAACUGAAAUACUUAGAGAAAACUUGCAUCAGCUGAUCAGUUAAAGAGUUGGUGUCACAUCGGACUUCCUUAAAUGAUGAGAUACUUGCCAGGAGAGAUCAGCAGCUACAAUUAAAUAUCACAAAUCUAAAGCAAAUGGAAUACACAUCAGUUGAUCAGUUAAAGUGUUCCUGUUUCGGACUUCCUUCCAUGCUCAGAUACAUGCCGAUGGGGAACAGCAGCUACAAUUGAAUUGAAUUAAAAGACUAAGCAACUGGAGUAUAUUACAAAAAACUUGGAUCAGUUAAGAGUUUAUGUCACAUCGGACUUCCUUCAAUGAUGAGAUACUUGCCAGGAGAGAUCAGCAGCUACAAUUAAAUAUCACAAAUCUAAAGCAAAUGGAAUACACAUCAGUUGAUCAGUUAAAGUGUUCCUGUUUCGGACUUCCUUCCAUGCUCAGAUACAUGCCGAUGGGGAACAGCAGCUACAAUUGAAUUGAAUUAAAAGACUAAGCAACUGGAGUAUAUUACAAAAAACUUGGAUCAGUUAAGAGUUUAUGUCACAUCGGACUUCCUUCAAUGAUGAGAUACUUGCUAAUUACUGCAAUUAAAUAUCACAAUUAUAAAGCAAAUAGAAUAAAAAUCAGCUAAGAGUUCCUGUCAUCGAGCUUCCUUCCAUGCUCAUGUGAAUGCCAAUAGAGAGCAGAAGCUACAAUUGAAUGUUACAAGUCUGAAGGAACUGGAACAUUGAGAAAAUACUUGCAUCAUCUGAUCAUUUAAACGAGCCUGAAACCUCAAACAUCCUUCAUUGUUGAAGUAUAUGUCGCAGCAAUCGCAAUUGAGCAGCAGCUACAAUUAAAUAUCACAAAUCUAAAGCAACUGGAAUAGAUAAAGCUCGCAUCAACAGAACUUCUAAGUGUUACUGCCACAUCGGACUUUCUUCAAUGCUGAGGUACUUGUCAAUUACUACUGAAGCCAGCAAAUAUCACAAAUCUAAAGCCACUGGAAUUCACAUCACGGUUCUCUUACAGUUC